rnacentral:rRNA from 1 species
UACGGGGGAGCAAGCGUUGUUCGGAUUUACUGGCGUAAAGGGCGCGUAGGCGGUCGUGACAAGUCACUUGUGAAUCUCCGGCUUAACUCGGAACGUCAGUGAUACUGUCGGACUAGAGUACAGAAGGCAACUGGAUCUCGUGUAGCGUGAAUGCGUAGAUAUCGAGAGACACUGCGCGAGCGGUGCUGGCUGAUACUGACGCUGAGCGCGAAGACCAGGAGCGACGG